ACAUGAGAUAGCCUUUCUAAGAUGUUUUUGUCAACUCUAUUUUACCAAGACUAUCUCAGAUAAGCAAAAAGCAACGGUAUCAUUUCCGUUGCUUUUUGUCU
rnacentral:sRNA from 1 species